AAGAGGUAAAUGAUCUAGUGUGUCCCUCCAUAUGCACAGUGAGUUAUCAUGAACUUAUUCCCCAUUAUUUUCAUUUCUUUUUUUGGGCCAUGCAUCAUUUGUCCCAGACGCAGAGAAUACUAGUACCAAGGAAAUGGUGGGGUUUUCAGGCCCUCAAUGUCAAGUCUGACUCUUACAUUUGUGUUCAAACCAAGUAUAAUGAAACAUACAAAAGUGGAGCAAGGGAAGGGUGGAAAUGAAGAUGCCAACUUCUCCCUGUAAUGGUCCACAACCCCAAAAGUCGAGAGAGAGAGAGGUGAGCUUUUACAAUCUCUACAUUGCAUUAGGCUUGGAAUGGGGCCAUAAGACAAGGUGAUGCCAAGAAGCCACUUGUAAUCAGCCUAAUCAUCCAUGGAUGCUUGCUGACGUGCAACUACGAAGUGCCAUCUCAGAAGGACCAUUAUAAAUUUCAAACAUAAACUAUAGUUAGCUUUUCCUAACGAAGCUGAUCUUUUCAAAUCAAUAGCUUUAACAUGAAUAGAACUCAUGCUCGAUUGGUUCUAUUAAUUUUAAAUUUUGUUACUCCUUAAGGCCAAGUGUGCAGGAGAUGAUCAAAGAGAAGCUUCCGUGAUCCUAGGCUUUUCUUUGUUACUUUCCUCAUCCAUCAUCGAUACAAGGGGUAGCUUCCCUUUGCAAUCAUGAAUCCAAUAUGACAUCAUUGCUAUAGAAGAUAAAUCUAUCUCUCUAUCAAAUGCAUACCCACCAUAUGCCCUAGAUAAUCAUGCACACUGUCACGACACAAAACCACCUGUAUAUAUAGGAACUUACAUCCCACCCUCUUUUCUCAAUUCGCUUUCUCUCAUCUUUCCAAUAGCAAUAAAUAUAAUGUGCACUAACGGAGUAGAGAGGUUCCCAUUUCCUUUCCACCCUUCAAAAAGAAGGCAAAGAUCAAAGAAAUGUAAGGUUCAAGUUAUUGGGCUCACCUGCAGGAGGUCAGGAUAUGAAGAAAUGGAGGGGAAGGACAUACAGCUAAAGAACUUGAAGUUGUGUUUAGAGAACCAAAGAAUCGUUGAAGAGAACAAGAAGCUGAGGAAGAAAGCUAAUCUUCUCCGCCAAGAAAACUUGGCCUUAAUGUCUGAAUUUCAAAAGAAAUUCUCUCAUUUGGAUCGCUUAUCCACCACCCUACUUCUUGUACACAACACUAGCAAAAUGUAACAUACCUAAUCUUUCCCUCGGUUAGCACAACCCCUAUUUGAUACCACACAGAUAAUUGGGCUGUUCAGAGUGAAAUAUCCCAGUAGUUCUUUCACAGAUAAGAGUAGAAUGGUAUGCUGAUGGAUACAUGUGACAUUAGGAGCUGUAUGGCAUUUGAUUUUCGAUGAAUGAUGAGCAGUGGAAGGUGAAGGUGAAAUAGAGACGAUUCUCUCUCUCAAGAAAAAAGGAGUGAAAUAGAUACUGUAUUUUGUAAUGGACAUGUAUAAAGGACUAGAGAUAUCUAUUCAAGCUAAAUGUCAUAUUCAUUUCCAUCUAUGCUUCCCGUAGGUUAACCUAAAGCCCCAUUUGAUCAGUUCAUUUAAGAUCUUUCCGGUAUCUUGAUUAGCAACUAUUGUUACCUCAAGAGACUCGGAAUAGAAGUAAGGACAAAAAGUCAACGAUGCUAUGCAAAUGUAUAAACCAGAGCAGUAAUAUCCAUUUGUAGCUAAGCAUUGUAUUCGAUAUUAUCAUGCCAUGCAUCAGAAUCUAAACUCCCAUUUGAUUGGUUCAUUUAAGGUUGUUUCCUGUAUUUCAAUUGAUCUAUUUAUCUCUAAUCUGCACCUGUGCAAACAGACAAAUUCCUUUAGCCAUGAAGCAAUGCAACC